CUGAAUAAUAGCAACAAAAGUGCUUCAUAAAUGUUUUAUGGUCUAAAUUGUGGUAAAAGCUGUGAGCAAGAAGUGGUUAAUUUCCUGCCAGGUGCUUUUUUUAAAGGACAGAUAAAGGUUACUCUGGAGAGCAUUAGAGGACCAGAAGAUGAAUAGGGGUUAAAAGGGUGAGAUGGCAGCCACAAAUCCUUAUACAAAAUCUUAGGCUUCUACAAGGAGAAACUUGUCAGACUGCAUUUGGAGUACUGCGUUCACUUUGGACACCACAUUGUAGUAGGUACCACAACUGGCUAGAGGGAAGUUUUAUCUGGAGAAAGAGGGACUUUGGACAACAAGAUCACUUGGAAGUUUAACCCAGAGAAGAAGGACAACAAGAUUAUUUGGGGAAGUUUAACUUGGAGAAGGAGAAAUGAGAGCUCAAGUAUAUAUUAAGCACCUAUUGUGUACCAGGUGAAAGGAAUGGAGUCCCCCAGCUUAGUGAAUUUAAAAGGUUGUCAUUAGAGCGUCCCUAUUUUUCAGUCUGGGUUCCAGCUGGGAGUUGCAGCCAUUGAUGCCCUGAGGUGCAAAGAAUGACCUUCAGGACUCCAGCCCAGCAGUGUCUGGACAAGGAAUCAAGAUGUAAUACUGUAUUUGUUGGAAAUACAUUUGUUGGAACCAAUGCUGUGCAGGAACCGAGCCAAGUUUUGAGUCCAUCAGAAAAUGAGAAGCUUCAUAUGUAGCCAAAGUGAGUAACAAUCACACUGGGACAGAGGAAGAUACCUUCGGAGACAACAGUAUGCUGGGUACCAUGAUGCUAAGUCCUGAUGCUGCUGAUCUAGUCUGUCUGCU